GGUAGGGUGGCUGAAUUUAGGCGGUAGAUUGUAAAUCUAUUUAUGGGAAUUAUUCUCUCCUAUCA
rnacentral:tRNA from 1 species